ensembl:lncRNA
CACACUUCCUCCAACAGACACACGUAGUCCUUCAAAGCCACACCUCCACAGAGACCCUUCCUUCUCUGGAGGUAGUUUAAGAUGGUAAUCUGAUAUCACUUCAGGACUUAAACAGAACAGGGUUGGAUGGGUUGUUCGUGGAGGCAGAGAUUCCUUGUUUUGAAUCUAAGCGGGGCUUUUUGUGAUGACUUUGGUGCUUUCUGCAGAACUUUUUUUUUUGUUGUUGUUGUUUAACCAGAACAGUUCCAUAGGCAUUACUUAUGGUCAAAUCAAUGGUUUUUCCAGCAAGGGCUCAUUAAUCAGUUGCUAAGCCGCCACAAAUUACAAGGAAGAAGGAAAACAUCUCCGCAGAGAGGGAAAAGUGAUUAUUUCAGACAAAACUGUGAAGAACAUUAGUCUAGGAGAAAUGCUAUUUUGGUACAAAGACCAGAAAAGUAAUGAUCAGCAGAGGACUGGAUCCGGGAGACUAAAGACACCACUCCCUGCAGGACCAGCAAGCCAGGCCAAUGACAGUGCCCCUUUUCCUUGACUUCCUUCUUCUCUGCUGCCCACUCUGCUUGGCAGUCAUGCUGACCGGGACCUCAGUGCUGUGUCAUCAUGGAAAAGAAGCCUGAGAAAUGGCUCUGUGAGCACUGGAUUCUUGUGCUUGGAACCCUGACUGCUUGUCCUGGGCCCCUGCCUGCAGGCUCAGGAGACUGAGACCAACCCAGCCAUGGCGUCUGUUGGGAAUUAAGGAGUAUUGAAAUGCAGGUUGACCACUGAUGAGCUGGUGCACGCCUCUGACAUUGUGCUUCUAUUCUGGUAACUGGGUUUCUGCUUUGUCCUGUGACCCAGGUACCGGGAAAGCUAACAGCCAAACAGUGAACCACUGUGUGAUUCAUCCAGCCCAUAUGGAGACUUUGCCAAGGACCUCUUUUCCUCAGAUGAGCAGACCCUUCGAGAGACAAGCAUAUUCUGGUAUCUCUGAUUCAGAAUCUAUGUUUCUGGAUGCAGCUAGAGGCACAGUGCUAAACUUCUUGGCACCUUGGUAUUCUAAGAUGAUGUCACUCUUCUGUGGAUGGAUGGAUUAACUAUCAUGAUACCUACUCAGAGUUUAAGAGCAUCCCGUAAAAGGAGAUCCCAGAAGGCCAUCGGUGAAGAAUGUGCCUGCUACUGUUGUGUGGGGGCAUCAGGGUCUUAGUGAUGACAUGGGGAACAGGAGGAAGAGAUCCUUUCCCAGUUUUCUACACUGUCCUAGAGGCUUAUGCUGCUUGGGAUGGCUGAGGUAACAAUGCAGGGAGAAGUAGGGAAGCGUGGUGGGGGAAGGCUUUCUGGAGCUUCAUUUUCUUCCAACUGGCAAGUAUAGAGUGAGCCGCCUGAGUGUUGAAUUAGGAGACGAAGGAAUCUGAUGGUUGUUUUGUUUCCAAAAUGCCAAAGGGGAUGUUCCAUGGAUGUUUGCCUUGUAUGCCUCAAAUAUUCUUGGGCUCACUUAAGAGAGUUGAGCAUAGGGUAUGCCUAUUAGCUAGCCUUCUAGGCUACCAGGACCAUUCGUUAGCUAGCCAUCUUCCUUUCACCGCAAGCUCACCUCUGUUCGAAGACACUGCCAACUCCCAGUGCCGUCCCUGAGCCUUGACCCUGCCUGUGGUGUCCUAUCUUUUCCUUAAGGUUAGUCCUUACCUCUAGAUGCAGAUUAGAACCUGGGAGGGCUCUACAGUCACCAUGCCUGGGCCCAACUCCCAGUAUAGCAAACAGAUUCUCAAGAGGUAGAAUCUGAACAAGGGAGAUUUGGAAAUUUCCCUCUUAUUUUAAUAGCUGUAGAGAACUGUUGGUCUGGGCUACCCAGAAAGACUAUAGUUGUACUGUAAUUCAGAACUGGAGGUUCUGCUGGGAUGGUUAGAGACCCACUAACCUAAGAGACAGCCCCGGUAUUAACAUUCUAAGGACAAGUUGUUGAGCAGACAUAGGUACUUGACCGGAAAGAAAAAAUGGCCAGCCAAAGAGUGAGAUCACAAGAGUAGCCCCCAUUUGACAAAAGGAAAGGAAAGGGGUUUGCAGUCUUCUGGAACAUGUACUGCUAGAGAUGGUGUCUAAAAGUCAAGACUGUUAUGAAUGAUUUAGCCCUUCAGGGAGAUUCUUUGCUGUGCAAUCAUUUUUUCUUAUCCUCUCUCUGCAUAGUCAGACAGAAAUGGUCAAACCCCAGGAGUAGAACUGACAUUACAAACAGAAGCAAAGAGAAAGUUCUGAUCUUCACUAUUGUGUUGCUGAUAAAACCAAAAACUGAUUGAGAUGCCCCUUGGGAAGAUGGAAGCAAACGUAGGCCCUGUUGCCGUAGAGUGUUAUAAUAACUUCCUCUGUACGUUCUGCUCAUGAGAUACGUAAUCUACAUUUAAUGAGCGUUCAGCAAGGGACCAGAAGCUUGGUUUUUUUAUAGCUGCUUCUGGAUAAAGAUUCAGAGGUCAUAUUGCAAACUCACAGUUUAUUUUUCCUUGGGAAGUUUUGGUCUUGUGGCAGAAAAACAUGGCAAGCUCAAGAGUGUUUCUGUUCUUGGUAUGAAUGACCUUAGUCCAGGUUUGUCCCAACAGGGCUACAGCCUGAUUUGUUGCCUCAGCUUAAUUAUCAGUAACCUACAUAAUCUUCUUAAAGUGUGUUCUGGGUCAUCCUCACCAUCCUAGAGUGGACCUGCGGGCCUGGAAGGCGAGAUCUGUGUUCUAGUGUGAUCUCUUCCAUCAAUUAACUCCAUACUCAGAAAAUGACUUAUGCUUAGCACUUAGUGUUCUUUUCAGUGAUAUAAAGGAGAUAAAAUUCAGGGAUCCAAGGUCUUGUCUCUUGGCCAGAGAACACUAGCACCUGCAGAUUUUUGUAUGACUUCUGUACAUAUGCCAGCAUAUGUGUCUUUGUGCAUUGUUUUUCCUGGAGACAGUUGUGAUAUCUGUCAUAUUUUCAGAAUGCCAUGAUUACAGAAUGGCAAAGACUCACAAUGGAUAAAAUCUGCAGACUCCUUUACCUCUGUAGAUAGGAUGCUUUUUAAAAACAGAACUUAGAAGUCAGUUAAACUAUUGCAUGAGAAUAUUACCACAGUGACAAUUGAUUUUUCUUUGUACCAAACAAAUAAAAGGAAUCUUAUUUUUAGAGACA